CAACUUAAUACGGAGAAAAGCUUUUGAUUUUGACUGAACAAAGAAUCAGGGAGGAAAUUAGACUUUCCUCCCAAUAAUACAAGGAAAAGGCAGGAAAACUAACUUCCUUAACCUCUCUAUGCUUUAAUGCUAAACAAGUUGAGUUUCACAUUCUUCCAUUGUCAAUAUUGCUUAGUAAGAAUAUUUAUAGAAAUGGAAAAUAUUGCCUAGUACGAUCAUCAAACAAGCAUUGCCACUAUAAGCAGGAGAUGCUCCUCUAUGUCCAAGUUUUGCCACUCUAUUGGUAAG
rnacentral:lncRNA from 1 species